rnacentral:rRNA from 1 species
UAAUACCGGAUAGGACGAAAGUUUAAAGGUGCUCUUGGCACCGCUGAUGGAUGAGCCUGCGGCGCAUUAGCUAGUUGGUAGGGUAAAGGCCUACCAAGGCGACGAUGCGUAGCCGACCUGAGAGGGUGAACGGCCACACUGGGACUGAGACACGGCCCAGACUCCUACGGGAGGCAGCAGUAGGGAAUCUUCGGCAAUGGGCGAAAGCCUGACCGAGCAACGCCGCGUGAAUGAUGAAGGCCUUCGGGUUGUAAA